rnacentral:rRNA from 1 species
GACGAACGCUGGCGGCGUGCUUAACACAUGCAAGUCGAACGGAAAGGCCCUGCUUUUGUGGGGUGCUCGAGUGGCGAACGGGUGAGUAACACGUGAGUAACCUGCCCUUGACUUUGGGAUAACUUCAGGAAACUGGGGCUAAUACCGGAUAGGAGCUCCUGCUGCAUGGUGGGGGUUGGAAAGUUUCGGCGGUUGGGGAUGGACUCGCGGCUUAUCAGCUUGUUGGUGGGGUAGUGGCUUACCAAGGCUUUGACGGGUAGCCGGCCUGAGAGGGUGACCGGCCACAUUGGGACUGAGAUACGGCCCAGACUCCUACGGGAGGCAGCAGUGGGGAAUAUUGCACAAUGGGCGGAAGCCUGAUGCAGCAACGCCGCGUGCGGGAUGACGGCCUUCGGGUUGUAAACCGCUUUCGCCUGUGACGAAGCGUGAGUGACGGUAAUGGGUAAAGAAGCACCGGCUAACUACGUGCCAGCAGCCGCGGUGAUACGUAGGGUGCGAGCGUUGUCCGGAUUUAUUGGGCGUAAAGGGCUCGUAGGUGGUUGAUCGCGUCGGAAGUGUAAUCUUGGGGCUUAACCCUGAGCGUGCCUUCGAUACGGGUUGACUUGAGGAAGGUAGGGGAGAAUGGAAUUCCUGGUGGAGCGGUGGAGUGCGCAGAUAUCAGGAGGAACACCAGUGGCGAAGGCGGUUCUCUGGGCCUUUCCUGACGCUGAGGAGCGAAAGCGUGGGGAGCGAACAGGCUUAGAUACCCUGGUAGUCCACGCUGUAAACGGUGGGUACUAGGUGUGGGGUCCAUUCCACGGGUUCCGUGCCGUAGGUAACGCUUUAAGUACCCCGCCUGGGGAGUACGGCCGCAAGGCUAAAACUCAAAGGAAUUGACGGGGCCCCGCACAAGCGGCGGAGCAUGCGGAUUAAUUCGAUGCAACGCGUAGAACCUUACCUGGGUUUGACAUGGAUCGGGAGUGCUCAGAGAUGGGUGUGCCUCUUUUGGGGUCGGUUCACAGGUGGUGCAUGCCUGUCGUCAGCUCGUGUCGUGAGAUGUUGGGUUAAGUCCCGCAACGAGCGCAACCCUUGUUCACUGUUGCCAGCACGUUAUGGUGGGGACUCAGUGGAGACCGCCGGGGUCAACUCGGAGGAAGGUGGGGAUGACGUCAAGUCCUCAUGCCCCUUAUGUCCAGGGCUUCACGCAUGCUACAAUGGCUGGUACAGAGAGUGGCGAGCCUGUGAGGGUGAGCGAAUCUCGGAAAGCCGGUCUCAGUUCGGAUUGGGGUCUGCAACUCGACCUCAUGAAGUCGGAGUCGCUAGUAAUCGCAGAUCAGCAACGCUGCGGUGAAUACGUUCCCGGG